rnacentral:rRNA from 1 species
CCAGACUCCUACGGGAGGCAGCAGUGAGGAAUAUUGGUCAAUGGCCGAGAGGCUGAACCAGCCAAGUCGCGUGAGGGAUGACGGCCCUACGGGUUGUAAACCUCUUUUGUCGGGGAGCAAAGAGAGUCACGUGUGGCUCAUUGAGAGUACCCGAAGAAAAAGCAUCGGCUAACUCCGUGCCAGCAGCCGCGGUAAUACGGAGGAUGCGAGCGUUAUCCGGAUUUAUUGGGUUUAAAGGGUGCGUAGGCGGGCUGUUAAGUCAGCGGUAAAAGCCGGGGGCUCAACCCCGGCGAGCCGUUGAAACUGCAUCCCUUGAGUGCGCGAGAAGUAUGCGGAAUGCGUGGUGUAGCGGUGAAAUGCAUAGAUAUCACGCAGAACUCCGAUUGCGAAGGCAGCAUACCGGCGCGCAACUGACGCUCAUGCACGAAAGCGUGGGUAUCGAACAGGAUUAGAUACCCGGGUAG